rnacentral:rRNA from 1 species
UACGGAGGAUCCAAGCGUUAUCCGGAUUCAUUGGGUUUAAAGGGUGCGUAGGCGGAAUGAUAAGUCAGUGGUGAAAUCUCUCGGCUUAACCGAGAAACUGCCAUUGAUACUGUCAAUCUUGAGUACAUUUGAUGUGGGCGGAAUGUGUCAUGUAGCGGUGAAAUGCUUAGAUAUGACACAGAACACCGAUUGCGAAGGCAGCUCACAAAAACUGUAACUGACGCUGAAGGCACGGAAAGCGUGGGGAGCAAACAGG